CCCUGGACGUUGACCGGUGGCAGCGCAACUGCCACGGCAAGUCCAGGGGUCGGCACGCACGGCUGCCCACAACAAUUUUAUUAAGCGAUUGGCCAAACAAGCGGCCUUAUCACUGAAUUAAAACUAAAACUUAAAUAACUAACGCAGUGUACAAUGACAAGACGGAUCAACAGAAUCUAGUAGGUAGGUGCCAGUCAAAUAAAAUGUAACCCCAAAUGACAAUGGAACCCCCUAAAAAUUGGCCAAAAAUGUCAAAUUUUUGACAGGAUCGGAUUUUGGAUCGGAUUGAAUAGAAAAUCCGAUCUUCUGCCAGUGAGGCGAACCAAUGAGUGAGAAGUGAAGAGUGAGUAGUGGGAGAAUGUACAUUCUCACGUGACAAUGAAGGAAAGUGAGAAAAAACGAGAUGGAUUGAAAGCAACGUAAAAUUGCAGGAUUGCCAACCGAAAAUAAGAAAAAAUAUUUUGCUUCUUGGGGGAAUCUUACAUGUGUAUGUUAGGAGCCAAGUGCUGUGUGUCAUCUAAGGAGAUUUUUAUCAGGAAGGUAAUGUGUAAGGUGGUGGAGCAGGAGCUAUUGGAAGAGAAGAAGCAUACAUAUAGAUUAACAUCAGAGAGACUUACCUUUUUUCUACAGAAAUCGCUGUAAACCGAACCUCGUGUGACUAAAUGCUAGUCCAGCAUCUUGCGUGUUACACCAUUCCGGAUCGUGCCAGACGAGCUGCACAGAGCGAUAAAAAGGAGUUUCAGCAUAACUGCCCGGUGCUUUUGCAGUAGCGUGAAAUUGUUAAAGGAAAAAAUGAAUUCGAGUGAUUAUGGAGCUGCUACGCGUCAACGAGAAGACGAUGGGGAACAUAUUUCAUCGAUAGACGAUUUUGAAGAUGAAUUGAUUGAAUGUGACGGAGAAAAGGACUCAUCAUAUUCUUGUCAUAUCAUCAUAUAUGUGAUGGGACUAUUGAAACACAUUUAAAAAAAAUCAAGCAACUAUACUUGAUGAAUUGCGCAGUCAGAGAGAAGAAUUUUUGUAACUGAAAAAUAGCCAAAACGGUAUUUUAGAAAGUUCAUCGAAGCAAUCGAAAAAAAUUAUGCAUGUUCAAGUUUUUGUUGAACAAAUUAGCAACGUGGUAUGUAUAGGGAAAGGUGUAGGAGCUCAAUCAAAAGCCCCAGAAUGGUUUCAAAAACUAAAAACAAAAGAUGAUAUGGAUAAUUUUAACCAAAGUUUAGGAACAGAAGAUAAUUUCAAGGAUAAUAUACACAAAUGGCUGGAUGAAAGCAUAAAGAAAGCGGAAGUAAAAGACAGGAUGCACGAGGCACGCGAUUUGAUUUUUGAUCCAGAACUGUUUGCAGGUUGCAACUGGAAAGGUGGUCUGUCUUAUAACCCCAAAAUUCCCUUAAUCACAUAUUCAAACAUAUUAGAACUGUUUAGAGCCAUAGGUAGCAAUUCCUUCCAACAGGCCACUGAAAAAGAUGUGGAAGAUUUUUUUAAACUAAAGCUUCGAUUUGGCAAAGAUCGCCUGAAUUUAAAAAAAAUCUAGCUUUAAUCCUUCCAAAAUGAAUUGAAUGUGUGGCUAAGGAAAUGGUGGGAAGAUGACGAAUCUUUUUUCUGGCUACAAUCCGCAAAAAGAUUUACGAUAAGCAAUCAAAUCACUUGACUCGUGUAUCCUGUUUUUAGCUAUAAUGAUAAAAUCAUUGGCUUUUUUAAACGUAAUGAAAAAGAACAGGAAUAGAGCUAUAAAAAAUUGAUGUUUAAUAAUAAUAAUGUAUUAUGCACAAAGUUAAAACUUUACUAUGUUAAAGAAGUAAUUAAGCUACCUCAACUUAUAAUGUUUUUUGUACUAAAAUGUAAUCACAAUUAAUAAAAAUGUUAACUAUGAACUCUGUAUAAAUAAUCGUAAUAUAUACAGGAUUCUUCU